rnacentral:lncRNA from 1 species
ACUGCGUGUGCUAAGAGUCACAGGUAUGCAGUGAAGCCAUCAUGUGUCCCAGGCCCCUGGUAUGUGCAGUUCUCCAGGAAACUCCUUCUUACCUCAGCAAGUCUAACUGGGCACCGUUUUCCUUCUAGGACCUGUGACAGCAGGGUACUUUCACAGUCUUUGCUGUUGAAGAAUUAGAGCGUCUCUUGAGGAAUAUGUAUGAUGGUAUAUUCCUGUAAUCUCGACACUGGGAAAAGCUGAGCCAGAAGGAUGCCAUGAGUUCAGGGCCAGCUUGGGCUAAAACACAAUAGAUUCAAGUCCAACCUGUCUCAAAAAGGCAAAACAAACAUCUAGAUAGAUAAGAAGCCACUUAGAUUAGAGGUGUCCUCUACAGAGUCUUUCGGUGACACAAUGGUCUUAUCCUCCAUGGUCCCCCGUUUCUCCUGCUAUAAACUUGACCUGACUGCCAACCCUGGCAUAGGGCAUUCAGAACUGCCUCUCAGGGACCUCUCCCUAAGCUAGCCCAUCCCACUCCAGGAGGAAGGUACCUCAAACCUGGGACCACACUGGAGACGCCAGAAGGCAGAGUGAUGCCUGAAUCCAGUUUCUCAGGCCAAUUUAGUACAGCCCCAGCCUGGCUGGGCCACCCCGCCUCAGCAGUCCCCCUAGGCUGGCAAUCGGCAGACGCGGUCAAGUGGAUCUAAGGCGCCUCUAAUUGGCUUCUUGACGAUUUGGAAGCUAACGAAAGCUAUGCUCGACUCAUCUUUAAUUGGCAUGGGGCCGCUGGAGAUGCCAGUGUGGGGAGAGCUGUGGGGCCUGGCUGACACCAGACUGUCAUUAAUGCUGCUGUGCUGCUCUGUGAAGACCCAUCCUCCCGCUCUGUCCCUCCCGGAGCCCUGGGCUCAGCUACCCACUCCACCUCACCGCUAGGUCUCCUCAGCCAGCUCCAUCCACUGCAACUCUCUGUGUGGGUGAUGAGAGACCCAGACCUUGUAUGCCCCACCCUGGAAAAAAUGGUUCUGUUCGUGGAUAAGGACUCCCCUCCUCCUCUCUUCCUUCCCACUUCCUCUUUUUCACUUCUUCCCCUCCUUUCCU